rnacentral:rRNA from 1 species
AGAGUUUGAUCCUGGCUCAGAUUGAACGCUGGCGGAAUGCUUUACACAUGCAAGUCGAACGGCAGCACGGGAGCUUGCUCCUGGUGGCGAGUGGCGAACGGGUGAGUAAUGCGUCGGAACGUACCGAGUAAUGGGGGAUAACGCAGCGAAAGUUGUGCUAAUACCGCAUACGCCCUGAGGGGGAAAGUGGGGGAUCGCAAGACCUCACGUUAUUCGAGCGGCCGACGUCUGAUUAGCUAGUUGGUGGGGUAAAGGCCUACCAAGGCGACGAUCAGUAGCGGGUCUGAGAGGAUGAUCCGCCACACUGGGACUGAGACACGGCCCAGACUCCUACGGGAGGCAGCAGUGGGGAAUUUUGGACAAUGGGGGCAACCCUGAUCCAGCCAUUCCGCGUGAGUGAAGAAGGCCUUCGGGUUGUAAAGCUCUUUCAGCAGGAACGAAACGGUGCGCUCUAACAUAGCGUGCUAAUGACGGUACCUGCAGAAGAAGCACCGGCUAACUACGUGCCAGCAGCCGCGGUAAUACGUAGGGUGCGAGCGUUAAUCGGAAUUACUGGGCGUAAAGCGUGCGCAGGCGGAUUGUUAAGCAAGACGUGAAAUCCCCGGGCUUAACCUGGGAAUGGCGUUUUGAACUGGCAGUCUAGAGUGUGUCAGAGGGGGGUGGAAUUCCACGUGUAGCAGUGAAAUGCGUAGAGAUGUGGAGGAACACCAAUGGCGAAGGCAGCCCCCUGGGAUAACACUGACGCUCAUGUACGAAAGCGUGGGUAGCAAACAGGAUUAGAUACCCUGGGUAGUCCACGC